rnacentral:rRNA from 1 species
AUGGUGCGCUCGUUGCUGGCGAAAAGGGACUUCAUGUUUGGACAUUCCCAACAUCCAACUAGGGACUCGGCUUCCUCAUCGGCAUCACGGCGGUCGUCCUCGACUUCGGCCUCAACGGGGACAGGCUCAAGAACAUCGUCGUGCACAAGGUCAUCGGCUUCUCCAUCCUGUCCAUGGCAUGCCUCCAGAAUGGCAUGUGCUGUAUGGGAACACAAGCCUGGAAAACUCCUCUCCCGAUGCGGAGCAGUCCACGGCGCUGUCAUCGUCGUCCUGACUCCUUGGCCGCUGCCGCUCCCAAGCGAGAAGACAAGCUUGGCUUGUGGCGGUGGCGGGUAUUACUGGAGUGGAGGCACAUUUUGUUUUCCGUUCUCGUCAUUCUUGGAAAGGCACAACAUGUACGAGGAGGAAGCCAUGAGAACUACCAGAGUGGAGAUGGGGAUGCGCGGCGAGCUGUGGGACGACUCGGCGCUGGUCGACUGCUUGGACCACGCCGUGCCACCUACAAGGCAUGCCGUAUGCACCCUCGCCCCCUUUGAUCCUCUUGCCCUUUCCACCUUGCUGCUAGAAGAUGUAGUAUGUGUUCUGUUUUAA